rnacentral:rRNA from 1 species
GACGAACCAUGCGAACGUUGUUCGGAAUCACUGGGCUUAAAGGGCGCGUAGGCGGGUGUGCAAGUCUGCGGUGAAAGCCUCCAGCUUAACUGGAGAAGUGCCGUGGAUACUGCUCAUCUCGAGGAGGGUAGGGGCAUCUGGAACGUUGGGUGGAGCGGUGAAAUGCGUUGAUAUCCAACGGAACUCCGGUGGCGAAGGCGAGGUGCUGGACCCUUUCUGACGCUGAGGCGCGAAAGCCAGGGGAGCGAACGGG